GAAAGAUGCUGAUUGGUUUGUUUUGUUGCUGGGCGUUUACUGAUUUCAGAGAGACUGAACAUCAUUGGUCCAAUCUUUAAUUGAUAACUUAAUAUUGACAGAAAUGACGUAGUUUUAAAGUUUGAUGAGCGGCGCUAAAAUGAACCGAGAGACACAAUCGACUUUUAUUCUCCUUAUUUUUACUUCCGCUUGAAGUGAAACGAGUUGGAUUUAAUCGGUGGACUUUAGUUCUUUAAAACGAGCUCCUGUUCGUCUCCAAAUGUCUGUUUUUGGACCCAUAAAUACAUUUGAACUGCAGCUAGACAGGAUAGCUAGUAAGUUGCUAAUGAGUUUACUGCCAUAAAGUAAUACAGUGCUGUUGUAAUGUCGUAAAUCUUAUAUUGAGCUUCUUAAAUCCGUGUAAAAAACGAACAUGUAAGCUUUCAAACGAGCUCCAAUAUGAGUACAUUAACGUCCCCAGUCAGCAUUCAAAUAUGAAAUAGAUUGAUUUAUUAUUGCUCCAUAGAAAUGUCGGGUCGCGUGCAACCUCCGCGCUGUAAAACAUUAAGAAACAGAUACCCUGGGGUCAAAGGUGCAGCUCCAGAGCCGUCUGUCACAACACUUAAAACAGAUGAUGGGAUGGUCCUGCAGUGUGCUGUUCGAGGUGCUUCUCCACAACCUAAAGUAGAGUGGAAGGACAGUGCUGGAAACAUCCUUCCUGCUAAAGAACCACAGGUCACUGAAAGAGGAGGAAGCUACGACGUCAUCCUACAAGCUCCUUUGACCAAGGCUGACCACUUCCGCUGUGUUGUCACACAGGAAGAAAUCAACCAUCAGACUUAUGUUGAGACAUAUGCUGAGCUUCGUAAUGGUGAGAUUCAUCCUCGUCAUAGUUUUAUGUUAAAAUUAUUUAGUUUUUGUGUUAUUUGUUUCCAAAAGAAACGUUAACAUUUAUUCAGUCCAAACACAAAGGAAAUUGUGAUGAAGACGUCUACACAAGUUAAACAUUUUUCUUAUUCUGAGACUCCACUUGAUGACUGUAUAGAGAUAAGAGUAAAAGUGAAAGGGUCUGGAGGGAAAAACCAGAGAGAACAAACACACACAGACACAGAGCAAAGCAGCCACGUUGAUAUUUGAGCAGCGUUUGGUUGGUAGCUGCUGCUCAUUUCCCCCCCUGUUGUGUUCAUGUUGUUGUUGUGUUUCAGAGAAACUGUGCUCAUUGAGAAGUGCAGCAUGAAACUUUUAGUACUGAAACAUUUGAGCUCUGUCUCCUGAAGCAGAACUUCUGCUGCCUUUUGGAGGUUUGCAGGUUGCAAAUCAACAGUCACAUUACAUUUUUACCAACAAGCUUUUUGAUGACGAGAGGCUGAUGAGAUGAAAUACUCGCUCUUCAGAUGUGUCACUGAAUGGAUGUUCCAACACUAAAGCUAUUUUUCAGUGACAUAAAAACCCUCUUGUGAUUCCCAGCUCUUGUCACUGCCACUUGUUCACUGGCGUGCACAGACUGAAGGUCAGCCCCAACUCUGAGCCUCCUUUCUCUAUAGUUUGUGGCUACUUUCCAGUUGAGAUGGCAGCGUGCNNNNNNNNNNNNNNNNNNNNGGUCACAGAAAGAGGAGGAAGCUACAACGUCAUCCUACAAGCUCCUUUAACCAAGACCGACAACUUCACCUGUGUAGUCACACAGAAGGAAAUCAACCAUCAGAUUUCUGCUGACAUAUAUGCUCUUAAUGGUGAGAUUCUUCCAAGUUCUAUUUUUAUAUUCAAAUAAUUUUUGUAAAUGUUCUUCAGACUGAACGCAAAGAAAAAUGUGAUGAAGACGUCUACACAAGUUGAACAUUUUUUAAACUGGCUGUUAAAUUCACUCUUAUUCUGAGACUCCACUUCAUUAAUAUACAGAGAUAAAAGGAAGAAUGAGAGGGUCUGGAGGGAAAUAACAGAAAUAACUCACACACACACCCACACACCCACACACACACACACACACACACACACACACACACACACACACACACAGAGCCGACCCACCACCAAGAAGCACAUAAUGAUUUUAAUCUGGACUUCACUGGACAGCAGUCAGUGGAGGAAGAACAACUCACAUUAUUAACUUCAGUAAAAGUAGUGAAACCACAGAGUAAAAAUACUCUGUUACAAGUUAAAGUCCACUUGAGUAAAAUCAGUGUCUCACUGCAUGGUACGGCUCGGCUCGGCUCGGCUCAGCCACUCAACAGUAAAUGAUUACUGUGUGUCUGAAAUGGAGCAGCCACGUUGAUAUUUGAGCAGCGUUUGGUUGGUAGCUGCUGCUCAUUUCCCCCCCUGUUGUGUUCAUGUUGUUGUUGUGUUUCAGAGAAACUGUGCUCAUUGAGAAGUGCAGCAUGAAACUUUUAGUACUGAAACAUUUGAGCUCUGUCUCCUGAAGCAGAACUUCUGCUGCCUUUUGGAGGUUUGCAGGUUGCACAUCAACAGUCACAUUACAUUUUUACCAACAAGCUUUUUGAUGACGAGAGGCUGAUGAGAUGAAAUACUCGCUCUUCAGAUGUGUCACUGAAUGGAUGUUCCAACACUAAAGCUAUUUUUCAGUGACAUAAAAACCCUCUUGUGAUUCCCAGCUCUUGUCACUGC
rnacentral:lncRNA from 15 species